rnacentral:rRNA from 1 species
CCUACGGGAGGCAGCAGUGGGGAAUAUUGGGCAAUGGGCGCAAGCCUGACCCAGCAACGCCGCGUGAAGGAAGAAGGCUUUCGGGUUGUAAACUUCUUUUAUUGAGGACGAAACAAAUGACGGUACUCAAUGAAUAAGCCACGGCUAACUACGUGCCAGCAGCCGCUGUAAUACGUAGGUGGCAAGCGUUAUCCGGAUUUACUGGGUGUAAAGGGCGUGUAGGCUGGACUGCAAGUCAGAUGUGAAAACCAUGGGCUCAACGUGGGAACUGCCUUUGAAACUGGCAACCUGGAGUGUGUGAGAGGAUAGUGGAAUUCCAGGUGUAGGAGUGAAAUCCGUAGAUAUCUGGAGGAACAUCAGUGGCGAAGGCGACUAUCUGGCACAUAACUGACGCUGAGGAGCGAAAGCGUGGGUAGCAAACAGGAUUAGAUACCCUGGUAGUC